UACGGAGGAUGCAAGCGUUAUCCGGAUUUAUUGGGUUUAAAGGGUGCGCAGGUUGUUUGAUAAGUCAGUGGUGAAAGUCUGUCGCUUAACGGUAGGAUUGCCAUUGAUACUGUUAGUCUUGAGUUUGGUUAAGGUAGGCGGAAUGUGUAAUGUAGCGGUGAAAUGCUUAGAUAUUACACAGAACACCAAUUGCGUAGGCAGCUUACUGAGCCGACACUGACGCUGAGGCACGAAAGCGUGGGGAUCGAACAGGAUUAGAUA
rnacentral:rRNA from 1 species